rnacentral:rRNA from 1 species
AACGGCCAUACCAUGCUGAAUAUACCGGUUCUCAUUAGAUCACCGAAGUCAAGCAUCAUUGGGCGCGGUCAGUACUUGGGUGGGUGACCACCUGGGAACACCGCGUGCCGUU